rnacentral:rRNA from 1 species
UUAAAACAAGCUUUUAAGAGCAGAUGGCGGAUGCCUUGCCAAAGAGAGGCGAUGAAGGACGUACUAGACUGCGAUAAGCUAUGCGGAGCUGUCAAGGAGCUUUGAUGCGUAGAUGUCCGAAUGGGGCAACCCAACUGAUAGAGAUAUUAGUUACUCUUUAAUAGAGAGCGAACCUAGUGAAGUGAAACAUCUCAGUAACUAGAGGAAAAGAAAUCAACGAGAUUCCCUAAGUAGUGGCGAGCGAACGGGGAAAAGGGCAAACCGAGUGCUUGCAUUCGGGGUUGAGGACUGCAACAUCCAAGAGAACGCUUUAGCAGAGUUACCUGGAAAGGUAAGCCAUAGAAAGUGAUAGCCUUGUAUGCGACAAGGCGUUUUUAGGUAGCAGUAUCCAGAGUAGGCCAGGACACGAGGAAUCCAGGUUGAAGCCGGGGAGACCACUCUCCAACCCUAAAUACUACUCUUUGAGCGAUAGCGAACAAGUACCGUGAGGGAAAGGUGAAAAGAACCGCAGUGAGCGGAGUGAAAUAGAACCUGAAACCAUCUGCUUACAAUCAUUCAGAGCCCUAUGAUUUAUCAGGGUGAUGGACUGCCUUUUGCAUAAUGAUCCUGCGAGUUGUGGUAUCUGGCAAGGUUAAGCGAAUGCGAAGCCGUAGCGAAAGCGAGUCUUAAUAGGGCGAACAAGUCAGAUGCUGCAGACCCGAAGCUAAGUGAUCUAUCCAUGGCCAAGUUGAAACGCGUGUAAUAGCGCGUGGAGGACUGAACUCGUACCCAUUGAAACGGGUUGGGAUGAGCUGUGGAUAGGGGUGAAAGGCCAAACAAACUUAGUGAUAGCUGGUUCUCUUCGAAAUAUAUUUAGGUAUAGCCUCAAGUGAUAAUAAAAGGGGGUAGAGCCCUGAUUGGGCUAGGGCUGCUCGCCGCGGUACCAAACCCUAUCAAACUUCGAAUACCUUUUAUCGUAUCUUGGGAGUCAGGCGGUGGGUGAUAAAAUCAAUCGUCAAAAGGGGAACAACCCAGACUACCAAAUAAGGUCCCUAAGUUCUAUUCUGAGUGGAAAAAGAUGUGUGGCUACUCAAACAACCAGGAGGUUGGCUUAGAAGCAGCCAUCCUUUAAAGAAAGCGUAACAGCUCACUGGUCUAGUGGUCAUGCGCUGAAAAUAUAACGGGGCUAAGAUAGACACCGAAUUUGUAGAUUGUGUUAAACACAGUGGUAGAAGAGCGUUCAUACCAGCGUUGAAGGUAUACCGGUAAGGAGUGCUGGAGCGGUAUGAAGUGAGCAUGCAGGAAUGAGUAACGAUAAGAUAUAUGAGAAUUGUAUCCGCCGUAAAUCUAAGGUUUCCUACGCGAUGGUCGUCAUCGUAGGGUUAGUCGGGUCCUAAGCCGAGUCCGAAAGGGGUAGGUGAUGGCAAAUUGGUUAAUAUUCCAAUACCGACUAUGGAGCGUGAUGGGGGGACGCAUAGGGUUAAGCGAGCUAGCUGAUGGAAGCGCUAGUCUAAGGGCGUAGAUUGGAGGGAAGGCAAAUCCACCUCUGUAUUUGAAACCCAAACAGGCUCUUUGAGUCCUUUUAGGACAAAGGGAGAAUCGCUGAUACCGUCGUGCCAAGAAAAGCCUCUAAGCAUAUCCAUAGUCGUC